rnacentral:rRNA from 1 species
UAGUUUGAUCCUGGCUCAGGACGAACGCUGGCGGCGUGCUUAAACCAUGCAAGUCGAGCGACGACACUUCGAGGGGUAACCCUCGGGGUGGACGGAGCGGCGAACGGGUGAGUAACACGUGAGGAACCUGCCCUGAAGUUCGGAAUAGCCCGAGGAAACUCGGAUUAAUACCGAAUACCCAUUUCUGAUCGCAUGGUCGGAUAUGGAAAGAUUUAUCGCUUCGGGAUGGUCUCGCGGCCUACCAGCUUGUUGGUGGGGUAAAGGCCCACCAAGGCGACGACGGGUAGCUGGCGUGAGAGCGUGACCAGCCACACUGGGACUGAGAUACGGCCCAGACUCCUACGGGAGGCAGCAGGUAGGAAUUUUGCGCAAUGGGCGAAAGCCUGACGCAGCAACGCCGCGUGGGGGAUGAAGGCCCUCGGGUCGUAAACCCCUUUCGAUGGGGAAGAAGCGAAAGUGACGGUACCCAGAGAAGAAGCCCCGGCUAACUACGUGCCAGCAGCCGCGGUAAUACGUAGGGGGCAAGCGUUGUCCGGAAUUAUUGGGCGUAAAGAGCUCGUAGGCGGUUACGGAAGUCGGAUGUGAAAUAUCGGGGCUCAACCCCGGGAUGCCAUUCGAUACUCCGUUGACUAGAGUCCGGUAGGGGAAGGUGGAAUUCCUGGUGUAGCGGUGAAAUGCACAGA